AUUGAACGCUGGCGGCAUGCCUUACACAUGCAAGUCGAACGGUAACAGGUCUUCGGAUGCUGACGAGUGGCGAACGGGUGAGUAAUACAUCGGAACGUGCCCGAUCGUGGGGGAUAACGCAGCGAAAGCUGUGCUAAUACCGCAUACGAUCUACGGAUGAAAGCGGGGGAUCGCAAGACCUCGCGCGGACGGAGCGGCCGAUGGCAGAUUAGGUAGUUGGUGGGAUAAAAGCUUACCAAGCCGACGAUCUGUAGCUGGUCUGAGAGGACGACCAGCCACACUGGGACUGAGACACGGCCCAGACUCCUACGGGAGGCAGCAGUGGGGAAUUUUGGACAAUGGGCGCAAGCCUGAUCCAGCCAUGCCGCGUGCAGGAUGAAGGCCUUCGGGUUGUAAACUGCUUUUGUACGGAACGAAAAAGCUCUCUCUAAUACAGGGGGUGAAUGACGGUACCGUAAGAAUAAGCACCGGCUAACUACGUGCCAGCAGCCGCAGUAACAC
rnacentral:rRNA from 1 species